rnacentral:rRNA from 1 species
UAUCCGCCCGGGUACUACAAGCACAGCUUAAAACCCAAAGGACUUGGCGGUGCUUCAGAUCCACCUAGAGGAGCCUGUUCUAGAACCGAUAAUCCCCGUUAAACCUCACCACCUCUUGUGUAAUACCGCCUAUAUACCGCCGUCGUCAGCUUACCCUAUGAGGGUAAAAUAGUAAGCAAAAAGGACACACUCCAAAACGUCAGGUCGAGGUGUAGCGUACGAAGUGGGAAGAAAAUGGGCUACAUUUUCUAUAUACAGAAUAUUACGAAUAGCUCUAUGAAAUAUUACGCCUGAAGGAGGAUUUAGUAGUAAAAGACAAUAGAG